rnacentral:rRNA from 1 species
AGUGAACGCUGGCGGUAGGCCUAACACAUGCAAGUCGAACGGCAGCACAGUAAGAGCUUGCUCUUACGGGUGGCGAGUGGCGGACGGGUGAGGAAUACAUCGGAAUCUACUUUUUCGUGGGGGAUAACGUAGGGAAACUUACGCUAAUACCGCAUACGACCUACGGGUGAAAGUAGGGGAUCUUCGGACCUUGCGCGAUUGAAUGGGCCGAUGUCGGAUUAGCUAGUUGGCGGGGUAAAGGCCCACCAAGGCGACGAUCCGUAGCUGGUCUGAGAGGAUGAUCAGCCACACUGGAACUGAGACACGGUCCAGACUCCUACGGGAGGCAGCAGUGGGGAAUAUUGGACAAUGGGCGCAAGCCUGAUCCAGCCAUACCGCGUGGGUGAAGAAGGCCUUCGGGUUGUAAAGCCCUUUUGUUGGGAAAGAAAAGCAGCAGGUUAAUACCCCGCUGUUCUGACGGUACCCAAAGAAUAAGCACCGGCUAACUUCGUG